rnacentral:misc_RNA from 1 species
UGUAGGAGCGAGCUUGCUCGCGAUGACGGUGUAUCAGUCGACAUCGAUGUUGAAUGUCAGUCCGCUAUCGCGAGCAAGCUCGCUCCCACA